rnacentral:lncRNA from 1 species
AGAUUACCACGAUGAUUUAUAAGAAACUCACUGUACUUUGAUGUCAGACUAACUGAGUUUCUAAUUCAAUGAUGAAAAAUUUUUGAAUACAGUCAAGUACUUGUCAAGUCAAUAUAUAAGUCAAGAUGGGAUUGACCCCUCUGAAUUAGUAAGAGUUAAUGUAUCAAUGUAUUUCAAUUUAGCAAAACCUGAGCUCGGAUAAUUCAUGAGAUGAAUUUGAAAAGGUUUGAAAUACAAUGUGGAUGAUAUAUCUAGGAUUAAUAGUUAAAUCAUAGGUU